UUACCUUCCCAUAUUUGUCAGUGAACAAGGGGUGAUGCCCAAUCUAGUUGACUCAGUGUCAAAAUGUUUCAACGGCUCCUUGAAGAAAAGUCUGUAAUUCAUCAGAAGUUGAAUUUACCUGGUCCUGUCAUCCGACAGAAAAAAAAUCAGAGGGCUCUCUCAGCAUCACAUCUCGUCUUUGGGAAUAAAAGUAACAGCAACUGUUUAUGAAGCAGUAAUUGUCAGGUUGCACGCUGGGCAGCUGACCGACGUCACCCUGUAAUCUUUCCCACUCUGCUGCGGGAAAAGGAUCCGGCCAGUGUCAUCUAGCUCCCUCUUGGAAGACAUUUCAACCCAGUUCCCGAUGCUUACUGCUACUGUAACAUCUACUACUACACGGUAUUAAAAUUUGUGUGCUUUGUACCAGAUGCUGGUUCUGAAGAACCCCAAGGUCAGUGACUGGCCUUUACUUCAGCCUGGCAUGAAGUGUGUAUGUGCUCGAUAAAUGUUAAAUGAAUGACGGAGUGCAUGAGCAAAAGCUUCCAGUGGACAGGUUAACCAGGUACACUGGUUAAUAACUCUGUUGUGCCCUCAGCUUGGUAAAAGGCUCUUGACCGAUUAUUUUUAACUGCAGGUGAUGACAGUAACUGAUUCAGGAUGUCUUGUUAUUACAACUCAGUGAAUUAAGUUGUCCUUUGUAAUACGGAGCUACACAAUUCAAGUUUGCCUGCAAGCUUUUCAAUUCAGUCCGAUUCCAUGAACUACUGCCAAGAAGCAAACACAAAGCAUAAAACAAGGGCGUUAAUGAUUUUGUAGAAAGCUGUGAUCACGGAAUGUUCACAUCUAUCAGAACUCCUACUAUUAAAAAAAAACCCCUCCUCUUCCAAAGUUAUGUCAAGGGACAGGAAAGAAAUUAAUCAAGCAGUAAGUGGAAUACAGAGGAAGGCCAUUUUAGGAUGGGACGGUUUUGUUUGCGCCACAGAUUGAAGAG